rnacentral:rRNA from 1 species
UACGUAGGGGGCAAGCGUUGUCCGGAAUCAUUGGGCGUAAAGAGCGUGUAGGCGGCUCGAUAAGUCUGCUGUGAAAGUCCAGGGCUCAACCCUGGAAGGCCGGUGGAAACUGUCGGGCUAGAGUCCGGAAGAGGCGAGUGGAAUUCCCGGUGUAGCGGUGAAAUGCGCAGAUAUCGGGAGGAACACUAAUGGCGAAGGCAGCUCGCUGGGACGGUACUGACGCUGAGACGCGAAAGCGUGGGGAGCAAACAGG